GGGUGCGAUCAUACCAGCACUAAUGCAGCAGAUCGCAUCAGAACUCCGCAGUUAAGUGUGCUUGGGCGAGAGUAGUACUGAGAUGGGUGACCCCUUGGGAAGUCCGCGCGUUGCACCCC